rnacentral:misc_RNA from 1 species
GAAAGAAGGAUCGAAGUUCCUAAUUAUAUACUCAUGAUGAAGAGGUGGGCUCAUAGAAAGAAUCAUCCUUGCAGGCAUCAACAGAAAGAAAAACGUGUCUAUAAACAUGGUGAUGAAGUGGUGGAGUACGUAGGGAAGGCAUUUGCAGCUUUUAAUGAAAAGAAGAGGAGAAAAGAUGGUAGUCUUUUUUAAGGUUACUUGUCUGUUUCCAUAGAUGAGGGCUGCUAAUCUUG